rnacentral:rRNA from 1 species
UGCCAGCAGCCGCGGUAAUACGGAGGGUGCAAGCGUUAAUCGGAUUUAUUGGGCGUAAAGGGCGCGUAGGCGGGAGUGAAAGUCAGAUGUGAAAUUCCGAGGCUCAACCUCGGAGCUGCAUUUGAAACUUCAUUUCUAGAGGAUAGGCGGAGAAAACGGAAUUCCACAAGUAGCGGUGAAAUGCGUAGAUAUGUGGAAGAACACCCGUGGCGAAAGCGGUUUUCUAGCUUAUUCCUGACGCUGAGGCGCGAAAGCAAGGGGAGCAAACAGGAUUAGAUA